UACGGGAGGCAGCAGUGGGGAAUAUUGCACAAUGGGCGCAAGCCUGAUGCAGCCAUGCCGCGUGUAUGAAGAAGGCCUUCGGGUUGUAAAGUACUUUCAGUCGUGAGGAAGGUGUUAAGGUUAAUAACCUUAGCAAUUGACGUUAGCGACAGAAGAAGCACCGGCUAACUCCGUGCCAGCAGCCGCGGUAAUACGGAGGGUGCGAGCGUUAAUCGGAAUUACUGGGCGUAAAGGGCACGCAGGCGGUUAAUUAAGUUGGAUGUGAAAUCCCCCGGGCUUAACCUGGGAAUGGCAUUCAAGACUGGUUAGCUAGAGUCUUGUAGAGGGGGUAGAAUUCCAUGUGUAGCGGUGAAAUGCGUAGAGAUGUGGAGGAAUACCGGUGGCGAAGGCGGCCCCUGGACAAAGACUGACGCUCAUGUGCGAAAGCGUGGGGAGCAAACAGGGAUUAGAUACC
rnacentral:rRNA from 1 species